AUAUCUAAAAGAAGCUCGAGUGCCUUACAAGAAAGAAAAUGAUUUUGACAUCUUAGGUUGGUGGAAAGCCAACUUAACUAGAUAUCCUAUUUUGGCAAGCAUAGCUCGAGAGGUGUUAGCUAUUCCUGCAUCUACAGUAGCUUCAGAGUCGGCAUUCAGCACUGGUGGAAGGGUUGUUAGUGAUUAUCGAACUUGUCUAACACCCAAAAUGGUGGAAGCGCUUGUUUGCACGCAAGACUGGUUGAAAGGAAAGGCCAUCCACUUGUUUUCUGAAGAGGACCUUGAUGAGAUCCAUAGAUUGGAGAAACAGAUAACAUCUCAAGAAUCAGUCCACUUAGAUGAUAUAAAUUGAAAAGCAUCCACUUGAAUCAUAAAGGGCCCAUACCAUAUGAAUGAUCAAACAUAAUUCAUAAAGUCAGAGAUCAAUUUGGACUUCAAAGUUGAAGUUAUUAACUACUUGUUGAGAGAAGAUGUCUGCUAUUAUAAACAUUUAGCUUUAUUUUGUCUUGUUAUUGUAAUAGU